rnacentral:rRNA from 1 species
CCUACGGGAGGCAGCAGUGGGGAAUAUUGGGCAAUGGGCGCAAGCCUGACCCAGCAACGCCGCGUGAAGGAAGAAGGCUUUCGGGUUGUAAACUUCUUUUCUCAGGGACGAAGAAAGUGACGGUACCUGAGGAAUAAGCCACGGCUAACUACGUGCCAGCAGCCGCGGUAAUACGUAGGUGGCAAGCGUUAUCCGGAUUUACUGGGUGUAAAGGGCGUGUAGCCGGGCUGACAAGUCAGAUGUGAAAUCCGGGGGCUCAACCCCCGAACUGCAUUUGAAACUGUUGGUCUUGAGUAUCGGAGAGG